GAUGAAGAACGUAGCGAAAUGCGAUAGGUAGUGUGAAUUGCAGAUGUAACGUGAAUCAUCGAAUCUUUGAACGCAAAUUGCACUCUCUGGUAUUCCGGGGAGUAUGCCUGUUUGAGGGUCGCCAAAUCAACAUCGAAAUUCAUUUGCUUUUGUAAAUGUUUAUCGGAUUUGAGCCGUCUUUAUUUUUUUAAUUAAAGUGGCUUAAAAUGUAUUUUUUUGGUAUCGAAAAACGUUAUUUUACGAUCAAGUUGAUUAAAAAAACAAACGUUUCGAAUGCCAUCUUUUAGUGUAAUACGUUUGACUGUGGUGUUAAUCAUGGUUUCAUUCGUAUACGAUUUUUUAAUUUUUGACCUCAAAUCAGGUAAGAACACCCGCUGAACUUAAGCAUAUCAAUAAUCGGAGGA
rnacentral:misc_RNA from 1 species